rnacentral:rRNA from 1 species
CGGGCUCAAACGCGGACGGAAUACUUUUGAAAGGAGGUAGCCGGCAACGGCCGUCCGCGAGGUGCUGCAUGGUUGUCGUCAGCUCGUGCCGUGAGGUGUCGGCUUAAGUGCCAUAACGAGCGCAACCCCCACCGACAGUUGCCAUCAGGCAAUGCUGGGCACUCUGUCGGGACUGCCGGCGCAAGCUGCGAGGAAGGCGGGGAUGACGUCAAAUCAGCACGGCCCUUACGUCCGGGGCGACACACGUGUUACAAUGGCAGGCACAGAGAGAGGCCACCCCGCGAGGGGGAGCGGAACUACAAAUCCUGUCUCAGUUCGGAUCGGAGUCUGCAACCCGACUCCGUGAAGCUGGAUUCGCUAGUAAUCGCGCAUCAGCCACGGCGCGGUGAAUACGUUCCCGGGCC